GGAAGGAUCAUUACCGAAACAAAAACAAAAAUGGCUCACCGCUCCGCUCCGGCGGUCGGUGAAUCCUCUGAAGCUGGCUCAACUUGAGACUCAUGGUUGUAGACCGGCGUAACCAAGUCUUCCUUGCCCUGCUUGCGCGGGGUGAGGGAGCACCGUUGAAAAUUUUGUAAACAUGAAAAUUUUGUAACCAAGCAAUAGAAAGAAACAAAAAGACGAAUGAAAACCUCGAGUGGUGGAUCACUCGGCUCGUGGGUCGAUGAAGAACGCAGCUAACUGCGUGCAGACGUGUGAACUGCAGGACACAUGAACACCGACAAUUUGAACGCAAAUGGCGGCCUGAAAUAAAUUUCAGGCCAUGUCUGGCUGAGGGUCGGAAACUUGACUAAAAGAAAGAUUGCUCAAGUGACGGGUCUUUGAAGACCUGGUCGGGGAACUUGUAUCAAUUCGUACCGUAACAUCCUGCGCGGUCGAGCCGAAGCAUGAAACUUUCUGCUAACUGGCCGGCCAUUAUGCGCGGUAGGAAACGAUGAUACAUGAGCUUUAUUCUUUUGAAGACUCAAAGUUGCGACCUCAGAGCAGGCAAGAUUACCCGCUAAAUUUAAGCAUAUUAAUAAGCGGAGGAAAAGAAACUAACAAGGAUUUCCUUAGUAACGGCGAGCGAAAAGGAACAAGUCCAGCGCUGAAUCUGGCAUCCCACGGGUGUCAUGAAAUGUGGCGUUUGGGACGAAACUUUCCCUGCGUUUGAUGGUUAUCCAAGUCCCUCUUGAACGGGGCCAUUGCCCAUAGAGGGUGCCAGGCCCGUACGAUAACAUUUGUACGCAGUGAGUUUUGUCCGUAGAGUCGGGUUGCUUGGGAGUGCAGCCCAAAUCAGGUGGUAAACUCCAUCUAAGACUAAAUAUGACCACGAGACCGAUAGCGAACAAGUACCGUGAGGGAAAGUUGAAAAGAACUUUGAAGAGAGAGUUAAAUAGUACGUGAAACCUCUCGGGGGUAAGCGGGCAGAACUUGCAAGUAUUGGUGGGAGACUCAAGCUCGGAGGCGGCGACUGUGGGGGCAAGGCUAGGUUGAGCUUCGGCGAGACCGACUUGUUCCUGCGGCUUGUUGUCGACGCGCAGCAUUUCUCCUUGCCAUUUGGGCUACGUGCAACUAAGCUGGCAUUUUAGGUGCUGGAUGUCUGCAAAAGCACUUGUGUUUUUGAGCUCCGGUUUCCGAAUGCUGCUGUGGUUGUUGUUGAACGCGAGCAGGCGUUUGCCGCGGUCAGUGCUUUGGACGAGUUGGGUACGCGUGAUGUGUGGACGGUUUCGUAGCAUGUUGCGCGUACUAAUUGCCGGUUCGAGGUAUUCUGGCCUUGCUCAUUGAUCGUAGCCUAAAACCUGUGUGGUCUGCCUGUCCCGUCUUGAAACACGGACCAAGGAGUCUAACAUGUACGCGAGUCAUUGGGAAGAGAAACUCAAAGGCGUAAUGAAAGUGAAGAUUCGUGUAUACGAAUUGAGGAGAGAUCAAGGCAUGACUUGAAAUGCUGAAAAGUUUGGCGAGUUGAAUGUUUGCGCAUCUCCUGGACGUCUAUACCUUCGAAGGUGGGGCGUACCUAGAGCGUACACGUUGGGACCCGAAAGAUGGUGAACUAUGCCUGGUCAGAACGAAGCCAGGGGAAACCCUGGUGGAGGUUCGUAGCGAUUCUGACGUGCAAAUCGAUCGUCGGAACUGGGUAUAGGGGCGAAAGACUAAUCGAACCAUCUAGUAGCUGGUUCCUUC
rnacentral:misc_RNA from 1 species